rnacentral:rRNA from 1 species
GGGGAUNCGGAAUUAUACAACUCAUCAACCCUGUGAACAUACCUAAAACGUUGCUUCGGCGGGAACAGACGGCCCCGUAACACGGGCCGCCCCCGCCAGAGGACCCCCUAACUCUGUUUCUAUUAUGUUUCUUCUGAGUAAAACAAGCAAAUAAAUUAAAACUUUCAACAACGGAUCUCUUGGCUCUGGCAUCGAUGAAGAACGCAGCGAAAUGCGAUAAGUAAUGUGAAUUGCAGAAUUCAGUGAAUCAUCGAAUCUUUGAACGCACAUUGCGCCCGCCAGUAUUCUGGCGGGCAUGCCUGUUCGAGCGUCAUUACAACCCUCAGGCCCCCGGGCCUGGCGUUGGGGAUCGGCGAGGCGCCCCCUGCGGGCACACGCCGUCCCCCAAAUACAGUGGCGGUCCCGCCGCAGCUUCCAUUGCGUAGUAGCUAACACCUCGCAACUGGAGAGCGGCGCGGCCACGCCGUAAAACACCCAACUUCUGAAUGUUGACCUCGAAUCAGGUAGGAAUACCCGCUGAACUUAAGCAUAUCAAUAAGCGGAGAAA